GAAAAAUACACCUCCGAUGUGAAACAUUAUUCAAAUCAAACUGUAUUUGUCACAUGCGCCGAAUACAAUAAGGGUCGAUCUUACCGUGAAAUGCUUACUUACAAGCCCUUAACCAACAGUGCAGUUCAAGAAGAGUUAAGAAAAGGUGAUUGUCCGUGACUGAUGACCUAUCACAGUGAAAUAGUCAUAUCUAGAGACAUGUGGCAUCAAAGGUUACAGUCUCUACAUCACUAUGCUUCCUGCUGACUGGACUCUUCAGAGAUGAGUAUGAACCUGGACCGCGUCCCAAAUGGCAUCCAAUCUCUACAUAGUGCACUACUUUUGUCAUAUGCGCUGAAUACAACAGAGCCUUUCCCUCACGACACUAAGCCAUGGAGAGAGAAGAGAGAUAACGUUCCCGACAGGAUGAUAAGGAAGUUCCUCAGUGUCCAAAUCACGAAGGACUUAAAAUGGACCACUCACACAUGCACAGUCGGGAAGAAGGCGCAACCUCUAUAUCAGGCGGAGUGAAAGGAAGGCCCGGACUCCAGCCACCCAAUCGAUAGAUUGUUCUUUCUGCUUCCGCACGGCACGCGGUAGCAGUGCAACAAGUCUGACACCAACAGGCUCCUGAACAACUUCUAUCCUUAAUCCAUAAGACCGCGCUAAAUAGCUCGCACAAUUGCUACACAGACUGAGUUUACCCUUGUAUUUUAUUUUAAUCUCUAUGCACACUCACAGGACUCUACACGCUCACGCACACUGACACUCCUACACACACAUAACAUGCACACACAUUUAUACUGACUCUACACACGCACACACACUCACAUACAAUCAGAAUUUAUGCUGCUGCUACUCUUUUUAUCAUAUACUGUCACGUCCUGACCAUAGUAAGAUGUGACUUUCUAUGGUAGAGUAGGUCAGGGCGUGACAGGGGGUGUUUUGUGUUUUUCUAUUUUUUCUAUUUCUGUGUUGUUGUUUUUUUGGGUUGAUCUCCAAUUGGAGGCAGCUGGUCCUCGUUACCUCUGAUUGGAGAUCAUAUUUAAGUAGGGGUUUUUCUUCCUGGGUUUUGUGGGUGAUUAUAUUUUGAGUAGUGUUUGUUUCUCUCUGCGUCACGGUUUGUUGUUUUGUCAAGUCAGUUAUUUAUGUUUUUGCAAAGUUUCACGGAUUUAAUAAAAUGUGGAACUACAACCACGCUGCACUUUGGUCCGCUCCUUUUGACAGCCGUGACACAAUCACCCACCACAAAAGGACCAAGCAGCGUGCCCAGGAGGAGCAGGGAUCCUGGGCUCGGGAGAAGAGAGAAUGGAGGACGUCCUGGACCUGGGAGGAGGUAAUGGCAGGGGACAAGACCCUGCCAUGGAAGUAGGUGGAAACGGCGCAAGCGGAACGGCGAUGCUAUGAGGAGCUAGCCCAACGACGGAAGCCCGAG
rnacentral:lncRNA from 1 species